GGACCCCCGUGAUGUCCAGCACUGGGCUCUGAACUUCUGUGAAGACGUGCUCCCCCAGGACCUUUGACACCCAGGGGUCCGAGGGGCCC